GUUGUUGUCUCUCACAUGUUAUCGGUUACUCCUUCCCUCGCUUUUAUUCUCUUCAUUCUCUCUCUCUCUCUCUCUCUCUCUCUCUUCAUACCCAACUACGUUUUCUCUUCUAUCUCCAACUACUUCCAUUAUCAACCACCCCUUCUUCUUUCUUUUCCUUCAAAUACACCACGCUAUCAUACCUCCACCACCCUUUUCUCUCCCUCUCUAUGCAACUCCCUCAGGUUUUAUUCAUUCUUUUAUCUAUCAAAUUUCCCAUUUUUCUGUUGUUUUUCAUUAUCAUUUCGUAUGUUCCUUUUAUUUUUGUAAUUUUCAUUUCAUGGGUAUUUGGAUUUGGGUCUAAAUUCUGUGCAGGGUUGAUUGCUUUUUGUGAAAAUUGAUGUUUUUAAUAAUGGAUCGAGUAGAUCUUGUGGGUUUUUCAUGUGGAAAUUGUACUUGAUUUCAGUUUGUUGAUGUGUUUCUAGAAAAUUAUGUGGAUCUCUCUAGUUAGAGGUGAAAGGUUUUGUUACUUUUAAGUGAUCGGAAGAAAAAUGAUGUCUUGUCUCAUUUGUUAUCACAAGAAUCAACAAAUCUACCUCAUUGGAGAUAAAUAAUUGGGGUGAUAUUUGGUGGGUGGUGGUAUUGAAAAUCAUUGAAGGACUUCAAACUUCAAUUUCAACUGAUUCUUAAUCACUUUUAAUAUUCAUUGUUACUUGGGUGUGGUACCUCACUUGCAUAUUUGGUUAAAGCAGGACGAUUUUCUGCUUGCUUUAAAUGAAUUUUUAGUUAGGGCUGAUAAAGAUUAAAAUGUGCAAGGCUAGAUGUAUGCACUUCCUGCACUUUUCGUUCCACAACAGAUUUGAGGGUAUACACUUGAUAAAGUGAUUAUUGUUUAUGCAUAUAGUCAAUAUGAUUCAGUUGUGCUAUUGUUUUUUAAUAAAUAAAAACUUCCAUGCAUCAUGAGAAUAAAGAAAUGAAUCACUUGCAAAAGAAAGUUAUCAAACCUGUUUAAUAUGACUAAAACUUUGGAAUUAGUUGUUAAUCUUUUGGUUCACAUGAUUGUGUUUAUGUAUGAAUCUCUUAAUCUUGAGUUAGCUAGAUUUAAAGGGAAUUUCCUUUGUACUAGAUAUUUUUAUUCCCUUAAUUCUGCUUUUGCAUGUUCAUUGCUGGCUUGUCUAUUCUUACGCUAUAAAUGAAGCGUAGCUCUUUGUCUUUGUGCGAACUUUCAGUUCGAAUGAUUUGCAGUGUUUUUGCUUGUAACUGCAGUUCGGAAGGGGGGUACUUGAACAAGAGUGUAGCUGCAGGGUGUACAUCUAUUAAUAGUAUUGUAGACCUGUUGGCUUUUUCGGUAUGGGCAAGGAGUGCAAGUGUUGUGGAAAGUUAGGGAAAAUGGGGCCAAGAAAAUAAUUAAUUAUUGAUAUUUUUUUCAAUCAAUCAUAAAAUUAUGAUACAUAUAGUAGCAUAACUUAUGAGAAACAAAUAUGAUUCCAUCUUCCACCACUUUGUUUUGUGAGGUUUGAUUUACUUUCUAUUAUUUCAUGUCCUAUUAUUCCACAUAACACACAUGCAUCACUUAUUGGGUCAUGGCCACAAGUGUAGUUGCCAAAAUUAUUAGAGCAGUUUUCCCUUUAUGUGCACAAAUCUGACCAUUUGUAAAUAUUCCCCAAACCGGACAUAAUCAAAUUGCAUAUAUCCUCCUUUCCUUUACCCAUAUACCUAGAACAAUGAAGCAUACUUAUCUUUGUUACUUUACAAUUUCUUAAUCCAAUCACCUUUUGUUUGUUGUUAGAAAGAUAUAUCAUCACUCUAUUAUUUUAUGAAAAAUAUAUAUUUACUAGACAAAUAAAUUCGAAAUUAUAUAAAUUUUUACACCAUUAAUAAACAAAACAUUACAUAGAUUACACCAAUUCGAACCCGAAUUUUUGCUUAAGAUGAAUCAAACAUGUACCACUUAAACCAACGGUAGUUGGUAUUCUGAAAAUAAUUGAAGAAAGGUUAGGUUGAGCAAUUAUUAAAUGACUUAUGGGAAGUACUAGUACUAGUAGCAUCUAAGUUGUCUCUAAUAAUAAGUGUAGGAAGUGUGAACCUUCCACUUGUCAUUCCUAAAAGAAAUAAAAGCAAAAGAGAUGCCUCCACGAACUAAAUGCAUGGGUCCCACACUAGACUCUCAUGUGGACACGUGUUCGACCAAGACCUAGUUGUCUCCGUAGAUUUUUUAUAGUUUCCUUUUACCAUCAUCGGACACGUGUCAAAUUACUAUUUGUUACUCACAUCGUUGUUGUCUCUCACAUGUUAUCGGUUACUCCUUCCCUCGCUUUUAUUCUCUUCAUUCUCUCUCUCUCUCUCUCUCUCUCUCUCUUCAUACCCAACUACGUUUUCUCUUCUAUCUCCAACUACUUCCAUUAUCAACCACCCCUUCUUCUUUCUUUUCCUUCAAAUACACCACGCUAUCAUACCUCCACCACCCUUUUCUCUCCCUCUCUAUGCAACUCCCUCAGGUUUUAUUCAUUCUUUUAUCUAUCAAAUUUCCCAUUUUUCUGUUGUUUUUCAUUAUCAUUUCGUAUGUUCCUUUUAUUUUUGUAAUUUUCAUUUCAUGGGUAUUUGGAUUUGGGUCUAAAUUCUGUGCAGGGUUGAUUGCUUUUUGUGAAAAUUGAUGUUUUUAAUAAUGGAUCGAGUAGAUCUUGUGGGUUUUUCAUGUGGAAAUUGUACUUGAUUUCAGUUUGUUGAUGUGUUUCUAGAAAAUUAUGUGGAUCUCUCUAGUUAGAGGUGAAAGGUUUUGUUACUUUUAAGUGAUCGGAAGAAAAAUGAUGUCUUGUCUCAUUUGUUAUCACAAGAAUCAACAAAUCUACCUCAUUGGAGAUAAAUAAUUGGGGUGAUAUUUGGUGGGUGGUGGUAUUGAAAAUCAUUGAAGGACUUCAAACUUCAAUUUCAACUGAUUCUUAAUCACUUUUAAUAUUCAUUGUUACUUGGGUGUGGUACCUCACUUGCAUAUUUGGUUAAAGCAGGACGAUUUUCUGCUUGCUUUAAAUGAAUUUUUAGUUAGGGCUGAUAAAG
rnacentral:lncRNA from 1 species